rnacentral:rRNA from 1 species
CGCGGCCUAUCAGCUUGUUGGUGGGGUAACGGCCUACCAAGGCUCCGACGGGUAGCCGGCCUGAGAGGACGAUCAGCCACACUGGGACUGAGACACGGCCCAGACUCCUACGGGAGGCAGCAGUUAGGAAUCUUGCACAAUGGGGGAAACCCUGAUGCAGCGACGCCGCGUGCGGGACGAAGGCCCUCGGGUCGUAAACCGCUUUCAGCAGGAACGAAAUUGACGGUACCUGCAGAAGAAGCCCCGGCCAACUACGUGCCAGCAGCCGCGGUAAUACGUAGGGGGCAAGCGUUGUCCGGAUUCAUUGGGCGUAAAGAGCUCGUAGGCGGUUCAGUAAGUCAGGUGUGAAAUCUCCGCGCUCAACGCGGAGCGGCCACCUGAUACUGCUGUGACUCGAGUCCGGUAGGGGAGUGUGGAAUUCCCGGUGUAGCGGUGAAAUGCGCAGAUAUCGGGAGGAACACCAGUGGCGAAGGCGGCACUCUGGGCCGUGACUGACGCUGAGGAGCGAAAGCGUGGGUAGCAAACAGGAUUAGAUACCCUGGUAGUCCACGCCGUAAACGUUGGGCACUAGGUGUGGGUCUCUAUCGACGGGAUCCGUGCCGUAGCUAACGCAUUAAGUGCCCCGCCUGGGGAGUACGG